rnacentral:rRNA from 1 species
AUUCCAGCUCCAAUAGCGUAUAUUAAAGUUGUUGCGGUUAAAAAGCUCGUAGUUGGAUUUCUGUUGAGAGCGGCCGGUCCACCUUUUGGGUGAGUAUCUGGAUUGGUCUCGGCAUCCUCACAACGAAUGUUUCUGCGCUUGAUUGCGUGGUAUAGGCGUUGUGACUUUUACUUUGAGGAAAUUAGAGCGUUCACGGCAGGCAUACGCCUUGAAUAUAUUAGCAUGGAAUAAUACUAUAGGAUUUCGGUUCUAUUUUGUUGGUUUCUAGAGCUGAAAUAAUGAUUAAUAGGGACAAUUGGGGGCAUUCGUAUUGACGAGUCAGAGGUGAAAUUCUUGGAUUUCGUCACGACGAACUACUGCGAAAGCAUUUGCCAAGGAUGUUUUCAUCA